GCAAGUCGAACGAGAAAGUACCCUUCGGGGUGCGAGUAAAGUGGCGAACUGGUGAGUAACGGGUGGAUAACGUGCCUCUGAGUGGGGAAUAACCAUUGGAAACAAUGGGUAAUACCGCAUGUGGCCCUUCGGGGUUAAAGACUUCGGUCGCUCAGAGAUCGGUCCGCUCCUGAUUAGCUUGUUGGCGGGGUAACGGCCCACCAAGGCUACGAUCAGUAGGUGGUCUGAGAGGAUGGUC
rnacentral:rRNA from 1 species